UACGAAGGGGACUAGCGUUGUUCGGAAUCACUGGGCGUAAAGCGCACGUAGGCGGAUUUGUAAGUCAGGGGUGAAAUCCCGGGGCUCAACUCCGGAACUGCCAUUGAAACUGUUUAGCUUGAGGAUGAGAGAGGUAAGUGGAAUUCCGAGUGUAGAGGUGAAAUUCGUAGAUAUUCGGAAGAACACCAGUGGCGAAGGCGACUUACUGGACACAUAUUGACGCUGAGGUGCGAAAGCGUGGGGAGCAAACAGG
rnacentral:rRNA from 1 species